UACGGAGGGUGCAAGCGUUGUUCGGAAUCACUGGGCGUAAAGGGCGUGUAGGCGGCCUGUUAAGUCUGAUGUGAAAUCCCCUCGCUCAACGAGGGAACUGCGUCGGAAACUGGCAGGCUCGAGUACCGGAGAGGAAGGUGGAAUUCCCGGUGUAGCGGUGAAAUGCGUAGAUAUCAAGAGGAACACCUGAGGUGAAGACGGGUUGCUGGGCUGACACUGACGCUGAGGCGCGAAAGCCAGGGGAGCAAACGGG
rnacentral:rRNA from 1 species